UAAAGAAUUUCGGUUAUCGAUGGGGAUGCGUUCCAUUAGUUAGUUGGCGGGGUAACGGCCCACCAAGACGACGAUGGAUAGGGGUUCUGAGAGGAAGGUCCCCCACAUUGGAACUGAGACACGGUCCAAACUCCUACGGGAGGCAGCAGUGAGGAAUAUUGGUCAAUGGACGAGAGUCUGAACCAGCCAAGUAGCGUGAAGGAUGACUGCCCUAUGGGUUGUAAACUUCUUUUAUAUGGGAAUAAAACAGGGUAUGCAUACCCUCUUGUAUGUACCAUAUGAAUAAGGAUCGGCUAACUCCGUGCCAGCAGCCGCGGUAAUACGGAGGAUCCGAGCGUUAUCCGGAUUUAUUGGGUUUAAAGGGAGCGUAGGUGGAUUGUUAAGUCAGUUGUGAAAGUUUGCGGCUCAACCGUAAAAUUGCAGUUGAAACUGGCAGUCUUGAGUACAGUAGAGGUGGGCGGAAUUCGUGGUGUAGCGGUGAAAUGCUUAGAUAUCACGAAGAACUCCGAUUGCGAAGGCAGCUCACUGGACUGCAACUGACACUGAUGCUCGAAAGUGUGGGUAUCAAACAGGAUUAGAUACCCUGGUAGUCCACACAGUAAACGAUGAAUACUCGCUGUUUGCGAUAUACGGUAA
rnacentral:rRNA from 1 species